GAAGCCAGGCACCUGCUGCUCCUUCUGUCUUGGCUGCACGUCCAAGGACAGGGCACCCUGCCAGCCCCUGAGGAAGCGACCUCUUUGUGGGAGACCCUGGAGAUGGAUCCCUGGAUAGCCCAGGAGAGGCAGCAGUGGCAGCUGCUGGACACUGAGAUGGAGGAUUAUCUGAAGGAGUGUGAGCACAGAGGGGGAAGAGGGAACAGGAUCCGGAGGUUUGGGAGGCGAGAGCCCUGCACUGGGCCCUGAGCUCUCAGCACUUGGCAAAGCUCCUCUCCUGAGAACCUCCUGGCCGCCCCUGGAGCUGGGGCCUCAGGCACAUCUUAGCAAUGUGAGACCCAAGGCUCUGCAUAAGCCCCCCUCCAGGCUCCCUGGGCUGGGGGAGCUCAGAGCUGCCUGACUACAGAGCUGCAGGAGGUGGUGUCAGAGCUGGACUCAGCCUCUCCCUCAGGCCCUGCCCCUGGGGGAGUGAAGUCAGCCCCUGCAAGUCAGGAAGCACAUCCGUGGUCCAGCUGUCCCUUCCUUUCUGAGGGCUCAGUCUCCCUGUCUGUCAUCAGAGAGGUUGGAGCUACAGAGUCUGUGGCCUCAGUGCCCCUGUCCUGCCUGCGCUGGAGCCCAGAGCCUGGCCCAGGUUCAGGCUCUAUUGUGGCAGUGUCUGCCCUCUGCCAGGCCCUGGCAGUCCUGCAACCUGGGAAGGGGUGGGCUGGGGGCUAGUCAUGGGCCAAGGGGGCUGUUUCUGAUGGACAUUGGCUCUCUGCCUUCGAGGGAAAUAUGGUGAACUUCCAGAAAUGGAGUGAGGUGAGCAGCCGUGCCCUCGAUGUGGGGAGGGUGGGGCUGUGGAAAUCACAGAUGUCCCCUGCAAGACUUUCUCUGGCCUCAUCCCUUGGGUCUUAUCUUUAUUGGGAGAGUUAGAUACAGGCAGCUGGGGAUCCCAUCACAUUGGUGGGUGGGAGGAGGGGCUGACAUCGAGGACACCUUCCUGGAUGAGGAACUAUUUCAACCCAACUGUGAGAACAGGCACAUCCUGAAUGGAGUGGGAGGGAAGGAGGGUUCCCAAUGAGCAAAGACCCCAGAGCAGCUCCUCACUACCCACAAGUUCCUGGCUGGGUUCCCCCCCCAGGCCCUGUCUGCAUCCUGUCCUUCCUCCCAGAAAUUCAAGGUCAUUAAAAGGAUCCAGCUGCUCCAAGAGGCUGCCAAUGAAUGCCACCUGCAGCCCGAGGAGCAAUUUGGGGCCUGGUUCCAGGCCAUGGAGCCCCUCCGUGAGGAUGAGAGCUACAGCCUGUCCUGCCAGCUGGAGCCCCCAAACCUGAAGGUGAGCAAAAUGCGAGGCUUCUUCAGGACCAAGAAGAACCGGCCAUCCUCAAGAUUGGGGCUGACUGCCAUGCCCUUGGCCAGGAGCCAUCACACUCUAGAUGCCACCACAAGCUCAGCCUCUUCAGGCGCAGGGACAUGGCUGGGACCCUCGGGGUGCACCAGGCCAGCUCUUCCCACCCAGAUGUGAAGGAGGACGUUCCUGGGAGUUGUGGUGUGGUUCACCUCCUGUGCUCAUCUCAUAUAAAUGAGACACAGAACCUCACCUUCCUCCUUGAAUUAAGAACUGGUGCACGGUCACAGCUCAUUGUAUGUGGGACAAGGGAGGAAGGCCAGCCCCCUCCCUGGCAAGUUAAGGACCCCCCAAGUCCCCUUCCUUAGAGGACAGGUUCGUUUCAGUGUGGUUCCCCUGGGCCAGGAGCAGAGACAGCCCCUCAGAUCCCCCUGGAUUUAGAGGCUGGAGGGAUUUUCCCAGCAGAGCAACCAGCACAGAAAUGUGGGUCUUUCAGAUGGCACUUGCCAGGACCAUGUCCUUCCCCGGGACAGUGGCUGCCUUUCUACAGCUUUCGAAGAAGAAGGAAUGUUUUCUGCUUCUCUUGUGGAGCUUUCUUUUGAUCAAUUUUUGGAACGUGUAGUUUUCUAAUGAAUCUCUGGAAUUGCACUAACAGUAAAUGGGGAAAAAAUGUAAACAGAUAAAUCUUUGCAUGUGGAAAGGACAAGGCCAGAGGAAGACCAUUUGCAGACGGACUAAGGGCAGGCAGGAUAUCCC